UUUGAUCAUGGCUCAGAUUGAACGCUGGCGGCAGGCCUAACACAUGCAAGUCGAGCGGCAGCACAGAGAAACUUGUUUCUCGGGUGGCGAGCGGCGGACGGGUGAGUAAUGCCUGGGAAAUUGCCCUGAUGUGGGGGAUAACCAUUGGAAACGAUGGCUAAUACCGCAUGAUAGCUUCGGCUCAAAGAGGGGGACCUUCGGGCCUCUCGCGUCAGGAUAUGCCCAGGUGGGAUUAGCUAGUUGGUGAGGUAAGGGCUCACCAAGGCGACGAUCCCUAGCUGGUCUGAGAGGAUGAUCAGCCACACUGGAACUGAGACACGGUCCAGACUCCUACGGGAGGCAGCAGUGGGGAAUAUUGCACAAUGGGCGCAAGCCUGAUGCAGCCAUGCCGCGUGUGUGAAGAAGGCCUUCGGGUUGUAAAGCACUUUCAGUCGUGAGGAAGGUGGUAGUGUUAAUAGCACUAUCA
rnacentral:rRNA from 1 species